GAUUUUAAUGCAGAAAACUACUAAACAAACCCCUAUCACCGCUCUGUUUCUCUUGUCAUUCCUUCAGGUUCUGCCAGCAAAAAGCCUUGCAAAGGAGGUUUGAGAUAGAAGGCUGAUCUGGUGCAGCCUCUUUCUAAAAUGAAGAUAGCCAACCGGGAAGGUUUGCAGCUGCAGGAUCCAGAAGGACAAGGUAAAGAUUCAUGGUUUUAAUGUCAGCCUCUGCUUAACCGAAGCACUCCAUCUUUACCACAUCUUCUAUUAGUCCCAGCCAGUUAUGACCAAGCACUUAGAUCAACUUGCUAUCUGAAUGGAAACCCUCUCUGAGUCCUGGAAACUGCCUAUGUUGUAUUUCCACCCAUAUGCGAUGGGAUUGAUCAUGGCCCCAAUCAACAGGAAGCAGAGUUUCCAGACAUGUUUGGAGAACUGAAGACCCUUCAGGGCCUAUGGAAACACCAGCAAGAUGUUUGGAUAACAUAGUGGGUCAAGGCUAGAAUGUAAUCUUGAGUCUCACAGCUUCUGCAUCAAGAGGAAGAGCAUGUUACAAACAAGGAAAAAUGGUUCUGCUGGGGAAUAUGGCUUACCUUGGGUGUGCCCCAACGGAAACAGAGGAAAGGCCUGCAAAUCUGCACCU